UAAACAUAUUGAGUUCUAUACCUAAGCCUCGUACUUCGCCGACAACACACAUCGCCUAUGUGACCUUUUUCAAUUUUGUAUUUCUACAGUAAAACGCAUGCGUUUUACUCAAGAGUAAAUCUGCUCCCGUCUGCAUUCCCAAAUGAAAUCAACCGGUUGAAUUUCUCCCUCCCACCAACUUCACCCCUCCCACUUGGUUCCCCUGCUCGGUUCUUGUCAUGUUCCUACCAUCUUCCGCAAGGUUGUGCAAAGGAGGUGAACUGUUAGAUAGAAUACUUUCUAGGUACCAUAUUCUACAUGCUUUUUUCCCCAUUUAUAACAUGAAGUGGGAAAAAUAUAUGCCAUCUAUGCUUGGUUUAUGAAAUUUUGAUCAGCUAAAUUUCAUUUGUGUUCACUUGGGGUGGAAAAUACUCCGAAGAUGAUGCAAAAGUGGUAUGGUUCAGAUUUUAAGUGUAGUUGCCUACUGUCACCUCCAAGGUGUGGUUCACCAUGAACUCAAGCCAGAGGUAAUUGAUAAAAAGAUUGAGUAAUAAUUUUUGGGAGAUUCAGUUGUUAAAAAACCUCGUGAUAAUAUUUCCUCCUCCAAGAGUCAUUUAGACAGUAAAAUGAAAAAGAAGCAAAACAAGGAGGGAGGGGGAGAGAUCAUUUUGGGAGUGUUCUCUGCAACAUAUACUUAAAUUCCUUUGUUUCAUAUUUUGUCUUAUAUGUCACCGAACAUAGUGAUGCAGCUUGACUCUAGCACCGAUCAGUUUCUUUAGUUCCAACAUUGCUGUUGGAUGAUCUUUUUUGCUCUUCAUUUUUUUUCUUUGGAAUCGUCAUUCAUUCUUUAUGUUAUAGGUGGAUUUUCAUUUUGUGCAUUUCAUUAUCAUGUUGGUUAGUGUAACUUAUUGUUUCAAAAGAUUUACCUUAUGUUUGGUAUAAGGGUAGUUUUGACCUUAACCAAAUUUCUUCUUUAGCUUGAGAUGUUUUUGGCUAGGCGCACAUCAUGGAUUGCUUGUUGGCACUUAAUAAAAACCUGAUUGCUUGUUGGCACUUAUUAAAAAACUCAAUUGAAAUAGCGUGAUGGACAAAGAGGAAGAUAAAAGGCCAACCAGGCCUAGGAAGAUAAAAGGCCAACCAGGCCUUCUACACCAAUUCCACUUACUCAGGUAUGAUACAUUGGUCAUUCAACAAAGGAAGGUGUCUCAAUUUCAACUAGCUACUGUAUUUUUAUUUGUGUAUUAUAGGGAUAUUAUGGCUUAGUAAAUGCUUACUACCCGCCAUUUAUAAUGCAUCCAAAUGCAUAUCUAAAUUCAAAUACAUACGCAUGGGUAGCCAAGUACGUUCAUUCUAAACUUUCAAUUUUUUUCCUUAAGUUCAUUGUUACUCAUUCUAACAUUGUGCUUGAUUGUAGCCCCACCAAUGCCACAUUUUCCAACAACGUUCAUCUACCCUCCGUAGAAUAAUGUGGAGGAGUCGAGCUGUGUUCACAUCUCAAAGUUGAGAGAUGAUAGUUCAUCAUUAGCGCAGUAAAUUUGUGUUGUACCAAAGAGUCUUGAGAGAUGAGAAGGUUGAUGUCGGGCUGAGUAGUUGAUGAAAUAUGUCUAUUUAUUAGUUGUAAAAAAAUAGAAAGUUGUUGUGAGACCUCAAUUACUUGUAAAAAAUCAUCACUCUAUUUAUUAGUUGAUGAAAUGUCUCUCUAAA